rnacentral:lncRNA from 1 species
UUUCACACCAGACUCUGGCCUGUGGGGACACUGGACCAGACAGAGGAGGAGGGAAUUCUUGGCUGCAGACAGAAGGAAAGAAAUCAAGAAAACCAAACCGGACAGGAUCUCACUAAGAAGCCCAAGCUGGUCUCAAACUUGCUAUGUAGACCAGGCUGGCCUGAAACUCACAGAGAUCCACCUGUCUCUGCCUGUCUCCCACGUGCUGGGAUUAAAGGCAUCCAUCACCAAGCCCAACCUGAAAUAUCUCAAUACUGUAAAUAUGAAUGCCAGUUCCUUUGCAGCUUUGUGACACUGGAAAUGCAUGUUUUCUUCCCUUCUGUCACAUGCCACAAGAGAUUCCCCUCUUGAUCUGGUUUUCCCAUUGCUUUAAAUGCCUGGACAUCCACUGUCACCUUAGGAUGAGAUGCACAUUAACCUACAUUUUGCUCUGCCUUUCCCUAGUGCCCUUCUCCAUUUGUUUCCACAGCCCUGCCCUGCGCAGCCCCAGGGCUGCCUCUCACACUCAGGUCUGAUCUUCAUUUUUUUUUCUUCUUCUUACAUUUUAAGUCCAAUCACACUGUCCACACUUCCAGCUUGUCCUUUCCUCAGCCACCAAGGACUUCACACAAAUCCUGUGUCCCUUCAUAUUGUUCACAGCCUAAGGACACAGAGCAGCUUCUGGGAGUGCAGCCUGGAGGCCACAGCCUUCUGAUGCUUCUCCACCUCCAAGCCGUUGCUCAUGUCCUGCCUUCAGGAGUCUAAGUGAGAAACCACUAUAUUGGAUCAAAGACCUCUUGUUCUGUCUCUGUCUCUGUCUGUCUCUCUCUCUCUCCUCUCUCUCCAUCUCCCCCUCCACCCCCUCCUCUUCACCCCAUGUCUCCACAGAGACCCUCAGAGUGUCCAGUGUCCAGUCACUGCUGUUACUGGAGGCUUCCCAGUGCACUUCAUCAGACUAACAGGGACUGACCCUGAGGGCCCUGAGUUUUGGCACUAAAAGCCUCGCAGCCGGCUCAUCAUCCCCAUCACAGAAAGCACUGUGCCUGAGCUGAGCUUAAGGCCCACACAGAAGGAAGCUGACCCAAAGAGAGCAGGACAGAGCUCUGGAACACCUGGACUCAGCCCCGUCUGCAGCCCACAGGCCCAGGCUCCCUCCUCCAGAAGUUCAUGGGACACCACUUAAUUUAAGCCCUUUUGUAACGUUCCUGCUCAGUGACCUCCCUCCUUUAUUCCUGUGGUGGAAGGAUGGGUGAGAUGUGGUGACUGUCAUUCUCAUCCACCAUGACAUUGAGCAGAAAAAUCCUUCCUCAAAGCGAAGGACUCUGACCUCAGGAUGGAGGUGAACAGAGAUGAGCCUGAUAGCCUGGAGCCACAGCACCCACUGGGCAUUCAGCACGGAGAGAGAGCAGGAGUCCCGGCUGAGACACCCCUCCCUUGGAGAUUUACCCUUCCGCGUCUGCCCAUCCGCACAGUCCGAGGAUGUCAAGAGCUGGAAGGGACCUGUGACUAGGCCCACCCUGUGUGUGGUUAAACUGCAAUCCCAGUAGGGAAUUGAACUUUUGUCACAUGGUGACCAUGAAUUGUUUCCUGCCCAAGCAGGCUCAGAGCUCCAGCCUUCCCAUCAGCCCCCUGGACCCUGGACCCUGGACAUGCUGCAGGCCUCUGUGGUGGCCGGAGGGCUGAUCUGUUGCUUCUGGAUAUGCCAUGUGGACAUGAUCUGCACUGCCACACAAAUGCCUGAAAGCUGAGCCAGGACACCAAGACAGCUGCCGUUCCUGAUCUGUUGGCCACACAGGGAAGGAGAGUGGCAGGCCAGGUCUGUCCCCUGCCGACUGCUCCCUCGGUGCCAGCUGCAGAGCCAGAAACGCUAAGGAACCCUCCAGUCAUGUACAGUCAAGUCACAUGCUAGGGUGACCCUCCAUCAGUCUGACCUCACUGCCCAAGGUCUUAAUGCCUGCAUCCAGGGAGACAGAUCCCAAUGACAACUGGGGCCAGGCAUGAGGCAGGUGGCUGGCUGGAGGGUCCUGUGAGGACAGAGAGAGAGCUCUGCUGAUCUCCACACCAUCCAGGACAACCUGUUCAAGGCAAAUUCCUGGGAGCUUUCAGUUUUUUCAAAAGAAGCUGGGAAUCUGGGUUUUUAUGUGAAACUUCUCUAUUUUUAAAUGUUGGCAACAAAUUGAGAUUUCUUUAAGGAAAAAAAAACACUGCAAGCCAACCA